CAGCAGUAGCCGCGGUAAUACGAGGAGGGCAAGCGUUGUUCGGAAUUAUUGGGCGUAAAGGGUGCGUAGGCGGUCUGAUAAGUCUGAUGUGAAAUCUAUGGGCUCAACCCAUAGUUUGCAUCGGAAACUGUCAGGCUUGAGGAUGGGAGAGGUGAGUGGAAUUUCCGGUGUAGCGGUGAAAUGCGUAGAUAUCGGAAGGAACACCUGUGGCGAAAGCGGCUCACUGGACCAUUUCUGACGCUGAUGCACGAAAGCUAGGGGAGCAAACAGGAUUAGAUACCCCGGUAGUCCCUGUCUCUUAUAC
rnacentral:rRNA from 1 species